AGUGAACGCUGGCGGUAGGCCUAACACAUGCAAGUCGAACGGCAGCACAGUAAGAGCUUGCUCUUACGGGUGGCGAGUGGCGGACGGGUGAGGAAUACAUCGGAAUCUACUUUUUCGUGGGGGAUAACGUAGGGAAACUUACGCUAAUACCGCAUACGCCCUACGGGUGAAAGCAGGGGAUCUUCGGACCUUGCGCGAUUGAAUGAGCCGAUGUCGGAUUAGCUAGUUGGCGGGGUAAAGGCCCACCAAGGCGACGAUCCGUAGCUGGUCUGAGAGGAUGAUCAGCCACACUGGAACUGAGACACGGUCCAGACUCCGACGGGAGGCAGCAGUGGGGAAUAUUGGACAAUGGGCGCAAGCCUGAUCCAGCCAUACCGCGUGGGUGAAGAAGGCCUUCGGGUUGUAAAGCCCUUUUGUUGGGAAAGAAAAGCAGCAGGUUAAUACCCCGCUGUUCUGACGGUACCCAAAGAAUAAGCACCGGCUAACUACGUG
rnacentral:rRNA from 1 species